rnacentral:snRNA from 1 species
AAAUGACUUGAGAGGUGU